rnacentral:rRNA from 1 species
GACGAACGCUAGCUACAGGCUUAACACAUGCAAGUCGAGGGGCAGCGGGAUUGGAGCUUGCUUCAAUCGCCGGCGACCGGCGCACGGGUGAGUAACGCGUAUCCAACCUUCCGUUUACUCAGGGAUAGCCUUUCGAAAGAAAGAUUAAUACCUGAUGGUAUCUUAAUGACACAUGUAAUUAAGAUUAAAGAUUUAUCGGUAAACGAUGGGGAUGCGUUCCAUUAGGUAGUAGGCGGGGUAACGGCCCACCUAGCCAACGAUGGAUAGGGGUUCUGAGAGGAAGGUCCCCCACAUUGGAACUGAGACACGGUCCAAACUCCUACGGGAGGCAGCAGUGAGGAAUAUUGGUCAAUGGGCGAGAGCCUGAACCAGCCAAGUAGCGUGAAGGAUGAAGGUUCUAUGGAUUGUAAACUUCUUUUAUAAGGGAAUAACAGACGUUACGUGUAGCGUUUUGCAUGUACCUUAUGAAUAAGCAUCGGCUAACUCCGUG